UACGUAGGGUGCAAGCGUUAAUCGGAAUUACUGGGCGUAAAGCGUGCGCAGGCGGUUUUGUAAGUCUGAUGUGAAAUCCCCGGGCUCAACCUGGGAAUUGCAUUGGAGACUGCAAGGCUAGAAUCUGGCAGAGGGGGGUAGAAUUCCACGUGUAGCAGUGAAAUGCGUAGAGAUGUGGAGGAACACCGAUGGCGAAGGCAGCCCCCUGGGUCAAGAUUGACGCACAUGCACGAAAGCGUGGGGAGCAAACAGG
rnacentral:rRNA from 1 species